rnacentral:misc_RNA from 1 species
AACGCACAUUGCGCCCGCCGGCACUCUGGCGGGCACGCCUGUUCGAGCGUCGCUUCCCCGCCCGGGCCCCGGCCGCCCCCCCGGCGGCCCGGCGUCGGGGCACCGCGGUCAACCCCCCGCGGGCCCCAAGAUGUAGCGGCGGACCCCCCCUCGCGGCCCUGGGCGCAGUAGUCUUCGGAACCUCGCCCCGGCGGCCCGCGGAGAGGCCCCGUACCCCAACCGACGAGGCGGUCGCGCCCCUGGCGCCCGCCGAGCCGGCCGACAGCAGUCGACCUCGGAUCAGGCGGGACUACCCGCUGAACUUAA